AUUGAACGCUGGCGGCAUGCCUUACACAUGCAAGUCGAACGGUAACGGGCCUUCGGUUGCCGACGAGUGGCGAACGGGUGAGUAAUACAUCGGAACGUGCCCCAUCGUGGGGGAUAACGAGGCGAAAGCUUUGCUAAUACCUCAUACGGUCUACGGUUGAAAGCCGGAGGCCGCAAUGCCUUACGCGGGCGGAGCGGCCGCUGGCAGAUUAGGUAGUUGGGCGGUUAAAAGCUUACCAAGCCGACGAUGUGUAGCUGGUCUGAGAGGAUGAUCAGCCACACUGGAACUGAGACACGGCCCAGACUCCUACGGGAGGCAGCAGUGGGGAAUUUUCGACAAUGGGCGCAAGCCUGAUCCAGCCAUGCCGCGUGCAGGAUGAAGGCCUUCGGGUUGUAAACUGCUGUUGUACGGAAAGAAAAGCCUUCUUUGAAUACAGGAGGGUCAUGACGGUACCGUAAGAAUAAGCACCGGCUAACUACGUG
rnacentral:rRNA from 1 species